rnacentral:rRNA from 1 species
GACGAACGCUGGCGGCGUGCCUAAUACAUGCAAGUAGAACGCACAGUUUAUACCGUAGCUUGCUCCACCAUAAACUGUGAGUUGCGAACGGGUGAGUAACGCGUAGGUAACCUGCCUGGUAGCGGGGGAUAACUAUUGGAAACGAUAGCUAAUACCGCAUAAUAUUGAUUAUUGCAUGAUAAUUGAUUGAAAGAUGCUAUUGCAUCACUACCAGAUGGACCUGCGUUGUAUUAGCUAGUAGGUGAGGUAACGGCUCACCUAGGCGACGAUACAUAGCCGACCUGAGAGGGUGAUCGGCCACACUGGGACUGAGACACGGCCCAGACUCCUACGGGAGGCAGCAGUAGGGAAUCUUCGGCAAUGGACGAAAGUCUGACCGAGCAACGCCGCGUGAGUGAAGAAGGUUUUCGGAUCGUAAAGCUCUGUUGUAAGAGAAGAACGGGUGUGAGAGUGGAAAGUUCACACUGUGACGGUAUCUUACCAGAAAGGGACGGCUAACUACGUG